UGAAGCGGGGUGGCAACGCCGUCUUGUCUUUCAACAGCUUUUGCACGUGCUGUACAUGCGCACGUUUCUCGCUGCAAAACAUAACUUUUUUGAUUCAAAAAAUAUUUCAAAAUGAGCAGCAUUUCGACCGAGUUCGAAGUUCAGUCCUCGCUGCCAGACGCCGAGGCCGCGAGCAUGGAAUUUCAAUCGAGCAACGAUGAAGGCAGCAAUAAGGAAAAUGAGGAAACGCUCGAGAUUACGCAGGAAGAUGCCCAGGAAACGUGCAGCAGCCUGUUGGAGCUCGUGUGCGAUAGAAAGCAGAAGACCAAGGACAUCUGCCAGGCCUGGAUCAGGUUAUAUACGUACUCGCCGGAAGCUGCGCUGUUGAAGUUCAUGCAGUUCGUGCUGGAGGCCAGUGGCAGUCAGUAUCAAAUACCUGAUAGACUGGGUAUACCCUUUGACUUCAGCGACAUGCUGAUUGCGGCCACGGCACACUUUGGCAAUAAGAGCUUGUUGUAUCCGCUGAUUAUGAAAUCGGGCAACUCCUUCGCCCGGAACGUGUGCUACUUUGUGCAGUAUCUAAUGCGCCUGCUGCACACCACUUCGCUCAUUCUGGACGAUGUCCUGCUGAAGAAUCUGGCCGGCUUUGUCAUGGUCUGCGCCGACUCGAAGGUGCGCGCCUUUAGGCACACCUGCACCCUAAUUGGACUCAAGAUGAUGACCACGCUGUGCGCCACGGUUUUGCUGGAUAGCGAGCAGGUCAAGGAUAUUUGGCUGCAAUUGUUUGCCAGCGUCUUCUUGGAGCGCUCCGGCGAUGUCGUUGAUGAGAUACGCUAUCUGUGCUUGGUCGAGUGCGGCAUUUGGCUGGAGAAGUAUCCGCAGUGCUAUCUGAAUCCGGAUCAUGUGAAGCAUCUGUUCCAGCCGCUGCAGGACAACUCGCGCAAGGUGAUCGAGUGCUGCUUCCAGGCGCUGUCCAAGCUGUGGCAUAAUCCGAAGCUGCGACCCGUUUGCUUGGAGCAGGGCGCCAAGUACCGCAUGACCCUGCUGGGCCUGACCAUGAGCGCUGAGAGCGAACUGGGCCAGAUGGCCAUACAGCUGCUGGGGCUGUUCUACAGGGCAAAUCCGUUGCUGCUCGACGAGUCCAUGCUGCAGGUCGUCGAGCAGCUCGUCUUUGCGGCGCAUCGUGGCGUGGCCCAGGCCGCCGCCGACCUGGUGCCCUACCGUUAUCAGGAGACGGCGAGCACGGAGCAGGAGCGCAUUCUGAUCCUGGUGCAGUUCUUCGUACGCUUCGGUGAGCACGAGCAUGCCGCCUACCUGGUGGACGCCUUCUACGGCCGCAACGACAUCGUGUUGGCCUGGUCCAGCAUGGUCUCCAUGCUGCUGCAGCCCGAUUCGCUAAGCGAGCCAGAGACCUCGGCGCUUAUUGAGAUCUUGACGCAAGCCGUUAAGCAGGCGGUCACGGGCGAGAUACCGCCGGGCCGUUACACCAAGGAUCUGGUGCGUCAAGCCCAGCCGAACGCCAAGAAGCUGGCCACGCGAGCUCUGCUGUCCAAGUUGCCCGCCCUGUUGCGCCAGUAUCGCAGCUCUGAGCGGGAUCUGAGCAAUCUGCUGGAGCUGGCGCAGUUCAUGAUCAUGCAGAAGGCGCAGUUCCAGGAGCUGCUCGAACAGAUCAAGGACAUUAUGUUCGAGCCGGAGGCACUCUCCGUGCUGCAAAUGGGCGCCAUGACGCUGGAGCAUUUGUACGGCCUGAAUGCCAGCUGCCUGAAUCAUCGCAAGGAGCUGCUCAACAAUGCGGUUACCAACUACAUGAUUGCCACUGCCGCCUGGGAGCAGUCGCUGGCGGGCACCUCGAGGCUGUCCGAGAAGGAUAAUGCCAAGCGUCUCAUGGAUACGCUGCGUCUGCUCGCCACGCUCUAUGCACGCUUCGAUCUCAACGAUUGGCAGCUGAGCGACAAGGUCUUGGCUACGCUGGAGCAUGUUCUAGAGGAGCGGGACUCCCGACUGCCGGAUGAGUCGGUUUCGCUGUACUUAACAAUUGUCUACGUCUCGCUCUCCUGGGAUCUUAAGCGCAACAGGGAUGCAGCCAAAGCUGGCCGGAAAGUGGCUGAGGAGUGCCGCGCCUUGCGUCGUCGCAUGGAAGGCUUUCUCUCCGUUAACUUCCGCCUGAUCGAGCACACGUCCAUGAUGCAAGUGGGCUGCGAUGCCUUCAGCUUUACCUGUGAUAUCUUUGUGCUAUUCGCCGAUCCGCUGCGCCCGAACAGCUGCGACUCGAUUCGCGCCCUGGAAUACAAAUCCAAAAUAAGCGAGUACGAGUUGAUCGAGAGCUUUGCACUGCGCUUUGCAUUCGAUGAAGAUGCCGCCGCGCUGCUGGCACCGGACAUGUUUUCACUGCUCCAGAGCAAACGGCGCGUCCUGGCCAGCUACUGUAAGCUGGUCUUUCACAACGUGAUGCCCGUGAUGCGCUCUUGCAUUGUGCUGCAGUAUUACGAGCGUUACAAUCCGGUCUUUGGUGACAUUCUGCGUGCCACUCUGGAGCGCUGCUUGUCUGUGAAUCCCGUCAACUGUGGCAUGACCGUGAUGCACACCUGCUUGCUGGUCUACAAACGCGUUCGAGACGCAUAUCCAAAUGCAGUUGAGGCGGCUGCCUCCACGGAUUUCGCGGAUCUACUUAAGCUGGCCAACUUGCUGGCAGAACCUUUCAAUGCCAAGCAGCUGGAAGUACGCUCCGGCGUGGUUAUACUGCAUCGUGCGGGCAUUCGAUAUGCCGCGGAGAUCAUGCCCGAUGAUCCGACCAGUCCGCCCGAAAAUCUACUCUAUCUGAGUGUGCUGCAGCAGUUUGUGCCGCAACUGCUCGCCCAAGAUAUGCUGGAUAUGCUCAAGUUUGUCCAGUUCAUCGAUCAGGUGGCCUUGCCCACCAGCCGAGCCGACGAGUGGCAGCCUCUCGUGGCCUAUCGCAACGCCCUGGAAAUAGCUCUCGUCCAGAGCUGUCGCCGUGAUGAUCUCUCCAAUCUGCCCAACUAUGCGGUGGAUUACUGCGCGGAAAUGCUCAUUGCAAAGUUCAUGUUAGCUGCCAAGUGAACAUAAAUUCUAUUAAGACGUAAUAACUAGGAGCAUAAAUUUACCAAAUGUAUAAAUAUGCUCAGUGGAUAAACAAACCUGGGCCCUCAAUAUGCCAAGAAGAUAAAUUGGCUAAAAUGAUUAGAAAAUAAAUGUGGCAAGUGGAUAAUUGUACGAUAAAACAACAUGAACAAAGAGGUUGAAUGUGCUAAGAGGAUAGAUGUACCAUGAGUAUAAAUGUGAUUAGAGCAUUAAUGUGUAAUAAUUGGAAACGGAUUGACAAUGAGUACGGCUGGCAAAGAGCCUUUGAGAAUAACUGUGUUAGCAACAAGAUUUACAAUGAGCAAACAUUUACAAGGAGGAUAAAUUUCGCCAAAGUCAAAUCGGGCGGCACUUCAAAGAGAGCGCGAGAGCCGAGAGUUCACUUUACAAAACAUACUUAACGUAAUCUGCGCCGACUUAUGGAUAAUAUUGUACUGCAAAGAAUAUGAGCAACAACAACAACAACAAGAGACACUUGUCGAGAGACAAGGAAAACAACAACAACAACAGGAACAACAAGCAGAGAGAGGAUCUUAUGCUAAUGGCGCGUACCAAAAUAAAAACUCGAGUCGAGGAAAAUGCAAAGCGGAAAAAAAACAGGCGGCAGGCAAUUCAUAAAAAUUUACAUACAUUACGCCGAGUGUUAGAGGGUUCAAGCGCGGGAUCGCGGGUUCGAGGAUCCCCAAUAAAAAUUAGAGUGCUGCAAGCCGAUUCGAAAGUGGAAGUGGAAGUGGAACCAACCCCCAAAAAGAGAGAGACAAUACUCUUGUUUUCAUAAAUUUGGCCAUAGAUCAGAUCAUAGAUCAACAGUUGCUUGUGGCCGGAGGGGCGUGGCACGUGUUGAGAUCAUAAAUCAUGGCCGCAUAAUUGACGCGAAUGCAACUGCACGAGACACCCUCCAGUUGCAGCACUAUAUAAGUAUAUAUGCAAAUGAUGUAUUAUGAAAAUGGAAUAUGGAAACUGGAAGUGCCAUAAUUGCGCCCAUUUUUGGACCCCCCGAUAAGGUGCCUCGAUUAUGAGAACUUCUAGGAGCUGAGAGCGUAGGCAACACCAACUAGUUACUGCAAGUAGGCAUGCGGCAUAAAUCAUUGGAGACAUUUAAAUAGCGUCUAAAUACAUACCUACAUCAUACCAUACAUCAAAAAUGAUUGAGAGUGCGUGCUGUCAAUGGAAUGAUUGUAGUUUCUGGCCUAAGAUUGCGUUCAACUCAAAUAAUUGAAAUUAACAGGAUGCUGGCAUAUAUUGUGGAAAUGGAAUAUGUAGAAAAAGAACUCUUGAGAAGCCCUGAGUUGAGCGUUUCUCGUGUUUGCUUGCGUGACACGAACACACACGACUCCUUACGACUUUUAAUUGAUAAAGUGAAUUUAUAAUUUAGUAUAAACUAAUUGCAAAAUAGGGACGUGCGCACUCGUGUCACGACACGCGCCCACCUCUAGAAGAGAUUGCAUGAUUAAAAAAGUACCUAGACCCGAUAUUGGGUUGGAAUAUUAUCAAAAAGAAUAAAAACUAAAUAGGCAAAAACAAUCGACCCAAUCUGUAGCAUCUACUACACGAAAGCUCGACUCAAUCACAACCCAGACUGGAACUCGCAAAUUAUAUAUAAGAUUCGGAUCUUAAGAAAUAAAAUCAUUUCAAAUUAUUAACUCAGCAA